UAAUACGAUCGAAUCGAUAAUCGAAGGAAACGAAUUAACAUCAAUUAGAAGGGAACUUUACAAGUUUAACCGAAUCGAUAGGAGCCACUCCUUGAGCUGAAGCACAUCAUUCUAUGGCGAACGUACGAAUCGCGCGAUACGACCGUUUUCCAAUCGGUGUAAUCGGUUUAAUCAUUUACGCGGCGCUGUACUACACUCUACUUAAUUCUAUGCGAGUCCUUGAAGUCCGGCCGUGGCACGGCCCCUAAUUCAACGUAUAAAUCUCUCUCACCUGUUAUUUAUUAUUAUCAUGAAUAUGCAUUUCUUUCACCGCUUGCUAAUGGAUGCGGGGCCCACGGCGUGUUGGAAGUGUUGCGCGCAACAGCGUGCAGUUAAACGGAUUUGAUUAAUCGAGAAACUUGAUCGAGAAUCUCUCUCUCUCUCUCUCUCUCUCUCUCUCUCUCUCUCUCUCUCUCUCUCGCCGAUUCAUUAUAUUUUCUUUUCAUAUUAACUAUUUAUGUCGUAGGAUGCAAAAAAUUGUUUCGUCAAACUGUUUGAAACGGAGGAAUACACACUUUCAAUACAAUGGAAAUCAGGAAUAAGAGGAUAAGAAGAUAUUUCCUGAGAUAUUGAUAAAUAAAAUUAUGGAUAUUUGAGGACGGUUGUUCAAGCGUUGGAGAGACAUCUAUCAUUUCACGAUCCAUUAAAAAUUUAACGCGAGAAAAGGUGGCUUGAUUUUUAAUAAAAAUCCGUGAAAAUGCCAUCGAUCUUUCGUGGAUUACAGAGAUACACGUGAGAAGGGAAAUUACAUAAUAUCUUUUAAACUUUUGCACCGACGCUUGAUCAAUUAUCAAACGGAUUUUACGAAUAAAAAUGGAUGGACAAUAAUUAAUUGAAUAGAACAGGAUAUUUAUAUUGUUAAUAUUAUUCCAAUUACACGGAAUUCCGUGUACACUCGAGGAAAUUCAAACAAGAGAUAUAGAUAGAGAUAUAGCAUUGCACUUGAGAAUUGAAUCGUUGACAAAUAAGUUUUCGUAGAUUCUGUUUGAAAGAGAUAACCCGUAUCAAUUGAUAUAGCAAUAUCAACUUCACGAUUGGCAUGAAUUAGAUUACGUUCUGUUUCUGUUGGUUUACAUUCUGUUUUAUCGGUACAGUUCGCACAGUUUGUACAGUGUCGUUGGUGUUGUUAUUAUGGGUAAUCUUUCGACUCGCUUUACGAAUUUUUUCUCGACCAAUCAUAUCCUCGACGAGGAGACGAUCGCCACUUACGUGGAGUUAACGUAUUUGAACAAGAAUGAAGUACGUCGCGUGAUCAAUCUGCUCGACAAUGUGAAUCCUGGAAAACUUCGUCAGAAUCCCCAUCAUCGGUUCACCAUCGAGGAGAUAGAGACAAUAUUGCCCCAACUUCGAUGCAGUCCAUUUCGUGAUUCCAUAUAUCGAGUAUUCUCUUCGAAGAAAGAUGGACGAUUGAGCUUGGAAGACGUUCUGGAUUUGUGCUCGGCCUUCUCCGAAUAUUGCCCCGACAACGUUCGCGCCACUUGGGCGUUUUACGUGUUUGAUUUGAACGGCGACGGUGAAAUCUCAUCGAACGAUUUAAUCGAAACUGUGCAGAGGCUGAUGUGGCCCCACCAGAACGAGUGCAUCGAUACGGCCGAGGCGGAACACGUCGCGCGAAUAUCUCUGCGCGUAUGGACUUAACCUCAAACUCGUCGAUACCACCACGUGUAAAUAAAAUCGUUUAAAACAGAAGAAAAUUCGCGAAGAAAAAGGAUGGAUAAAAGAAUAAUAUUCACGUUCGUUCACGUUUAAGAAAAGAUCGUAUCGAGUGAUGUGAACGACAACAUGGAAUUUCUGAAAAUUAUAUUUAUAACCUAAAGUUAUAUUUUCGGAUCGUGACUCGAUGAAUUAUAUAUCGUUGGAAUUUCGAUAGAGCCGAUUGAUGCAUAUGAAAUUUCAUCCAACAACGCUGCGCUGAACAUUAAAGAAGCUAAUUAAAUCUGAUACUUCAAGAGAUGGUGUUCAAUCGACAGGGAAGCAUUUCCUGCGAAGAAUUUAUACGUUUCUCCUCGAGAAUUUCAGAAUUCUGGUCAUCGUUUCGCUUUAAAAUUUAAUUACGCUUACAUCACGG